GGGACUAUAGCUCAGUUGGGAGAGUGUUUGCCUCGCAUGCACAAGGUCCUGGGUUCAAUCCCCAGCACCA
rnacentral:tRNA from 1 species